rnacentral:piRNA from 1 species
CAGCAGAAGGUCCAACAAAGAAGGCUC